GAUGAACGCUGGCGGCGUGCCUAAUACAUGCAAGUCGAGCGAACAGAUGAGGAGCUUGCUCCUCUGACGUUAGCGGCGGACGGGUGAGUAACACGUGGAUAACCUACCUAUAAGACUGGGAUAACUUCGGGAAACCGGAGCUAAUACCGGAUAAUAUAUUGAACCGCAUGGUUCAAUAGUGAAAGACGGUUUUGCUGUCACUUAUAGAUGGAUCCGCGCCGCAUUAGCUAGUUGGUAAGGUAACGGCUUACCAAGGCACCGAUGCGUAGCCGACCUGAGAGCGGGAUCGGCCACACUGGAACUGAGGCACGGUCCCGACUCCUACGGGAGGCAGCUGUAGGGAAUCUUCCGCUAUGCGCGAAUGCGUGACGGAGGUACGCCGCGUGAGUGAUGAAGGUCUUCCGGUCUUAGAUCGCUGUUAUUAGGGAAGAACAAAUGUGUAAGUAACGAUGCACGUCUUGACGGUACCUAAUCAGAAAGCCACGGCUAACUACGUU
rnacentral:rRNA from 1 species